rnacentral:rRNA from 1 species
GACGAACGCUGGCGGCGUGCUUAACACAUGCAAGUCGAACGGAAAGGCCCUGCUUUUGUGGGGUGCUCGAGUGGCGAACGGGUGAGUAACACGUGAGUAACCUGCCCUUGACUUUGGGAUAACUUCAGGAAACUGGGGCUAAUACCGGAUAGGAGCUCCUGCUGCAUGGUGGGGGUUGGAAAGUUUCGGCGGUUGGGGAUGGACUCGCGGCUUAUCAGCUUGUUGGUGGGGUAGUGGCUUACCAAGGCUUUGACGGGUAGCCGGCCUGAGAGGGUGACCGGCCACAUUGGGCCUGAGAUACGGCCCAGACUCCUUCGGGGGGCAGCAGUGGGGAAUAUUGCACAAUGGGCGGAACCCUGAUGCAGCAACCCCGCGUGCGGGAUGCCGGCCUUCGGGUUGUAACCCGCUUUCGCCUGUGACGAAGCGUGAGUGCCGGUAAUGGGUAAAGAAGCCCCGCCUACCUCCUU